rnacentral:rRNA from 1 species
UACGGGGGGAGCAAGCGUUGUUCGGAUUUACUGGGCGUAAAGGGCGCGUAGGCGGUCGUGACAAGUCACUUGUGAAAUCUCCGGGCUUAACUCGGAACGGUCAAGUGAUACUGUCGGACUAGAGUACAGAAGGGGCAACUGGAAUUCUCGGUGUAGCGGUGAAAUGCGUAGAUAUCAGGAGGAACACCGGUGGCGAAGGCGGAUCUCUGGGCCAUUACUGACGCUGAGGAGCGAAAGCGUGGGGAGCGAACAGG